rnacentral:piRNA from 1 species
UCCCUCAAGACUCUGACCAUGUUUGUGU